UACGGCCUUAUUACGUUGAAACACCUGUUCCCAUAGGAUCACCGAAGUUAAGUAACGUCGAACCUGUUCAGUAACUAGAUGGGUGACCACUUGGAAAUACUAGGUAUAGUA